rfam:Heterocephalus glaber contig85192, whole genome shotgun sequence.
GGGGGUAUAGCUUAGUGGUAAAGCACUUGCCUAUCAUGCGUGAGGCCCUGGGUUCAAUACUCAGCAUUGCUA